GUUUGGCCCAAUCACACGUUUAUAUAAAUGCUUAUAGCGUCAAAUUAUAGCAUGCUAUGAAUUAUGCUAUAAUCAUGUUUAUGAUUAUGUUUUCAUAUGAUGAUUGUUGAAAAUUAUGUCCAAAGCCAAUCAUCAGCCUAUUGACGGUUGUGCUAAUCAUUAUAAUUAUAUAUAAAUUAUUAAAAUAAUAAAUAUUAUUU
rnacentral:lncRNA from 1 species